rnacentral:rRNA from 1 species
UGGCGGACGGGUGAGUAACGCGUGGGUAACCUGCCUCACACUGGGGGAUAACAGUUAGAAAUAGCUGCUAAUACCGCAUAAGCGCACGGUUCCGCAUGGAACAGUGUGAAAAACUCCGGUGGUGUGAGAUGGACCCGCGUCCGAUUAGCCAGUUGGCGGGGUAACGGCCCACCAAAGCGACGAUCAGUAGCCGGCCUGAGAGGGUGAACGGCCACAUUGGGACUGAGACACGGCCCAA